rnacentral:rRNA from 1 species
UACGAACCGUACAAACGUUAUUCGGAAUUACUGGGCGUAAAGGGCGCGUAGGCGGCACUGUUAGUCAGGCGUGAAAGUCCUGGGCUCAACCUGGGAACUGCGCUUGAUACGGCAGAGCUAGAGGGUGGAAGAGGCUCGCGGAAUUCCCAGUGUAGAGGUGAAAUUCGUAGAUAUUGGGAAGAACACCGGUGGCGAAGGCGGCGAGCUGGUCCAUUACUGACGCUGAGGCGCGACAGCGUGGGGAGCAAACAGG